GAUCAGACAGCGGCUAAAAAUACACCACGCCAAAAAUACAGCGAAGUCAGGCGAGAGAAAUUUCGGCUAACUACGCUGUCGUACGAUGAAAACGUGCAAUAAUUUAUGGAUGUUCCGAAAUGUUUUAUUACUGUGCUUAGCAGUCUGUGGUAGCAAGAUAUGUAAACGGAUACCUCCAUCCAUUGAAACGUCAAAAGACGCUAUGAAGACCGCAAUACGCUCUGUACGGUGCAUACUGCUCAUGUGCGUACGCAAUACUAUGCAUAACAAUGGAACCAAAAGGUCUGUCCGUGAAAGACAAGAAAAGGCCGGAUGUGAUCACUCUUAUACCGUGGGCACGCGGAAAGCCGCUGGCCGUGGAUGUUACCUGCGUGGACACGCUGGCAGCCUCGUAUAUCGACCGCACCUCCGUGAACGCCGGCGCAGCAGCCGAACUCGCGGAAAGGAAGAAACUUUCGAAACACGCUUGGCUGCAACCAAGAUACGAUUUUGUUGCCGCUGCCUUCGAAAUCUACGGACCUUUGGGAGACGGAACAAAAAAGCUAGUGGAGAAGGUUGGAAACGGUAUAGCGACUUCCACUGGCCAGAAGCGAGCGAAAGAGCUUUUUAAGCAGCGAAUAUCUAUGCAAAUACAACGGGGAAACGCGAUUUGUGUAAUGGGUACGCUCCCCUAUCAGGAUAGCAUAGAGGAAGUUUUUCUGUUAUAAUGACGUUCUGUUUUGGUACUAAGUUUGUACUUGUACAACGAUACUCAUUAAAGGUCCGAGCUACUG